rnacentral:rRNA from 1 species
CAAUUCAACAUAAUCUGAUUAAUUAAGUUUACUUUAUUAAUUGUGAUAAUGAAUAAUUUAUAAUUGAAAUAUCUUUGUGUUAUUGUAGUUACUAUAGAUAUAAUUUGUUUAGUAAUAGUUUAAUUUUACUGUGAAGGGUAAUUUGAAAUAAUUUAUUAUAAUUUAAUAAGUUGAAUUUAAUUUUUGUACCUUGUGUAUCAGGUUUAAUUAAUAAAUGAUUAUUUAUUUAUUUUUCUCGAUUCUAUUAGAGUUAAUUGAUUAUAUUAGUUAAUAUUAAAUAAUUAUUAAUAAUAUUUAGUUGGUAGUGAUAUGUUAAGCGUUAAUGGUGGUAUCUAGUUUUUAGGGAAAUAAAUUUAAUUUAAAUUUUUACUUUAAUAACUUAUGUUAUAAGGAAUUUUUAGUAAAUGUAAAUGAUUAGGGGGAUAAGCUUUUAAUCUAAAAUAUUAUAAGUGAAUUAGUUUAAUUAAAAUUUUAUAGGUUUAAUAAUAAUUACUAAUAUGAGUAUGUUAAAAUUUUACUUUUUUAUUAAGGUAUUUAUUUUCUUUUAAUUUUUUACCUAAAUUUUUUAUUUAAUUUUUAUUUGUUUGGAAUAAUGAUUAAAUUAGUAUAAGUAAUUAUUUUUGAAUAGUUAAUUUGAGGAAUUAGGCAAUAUUUUUGUUCGCCUGUUUAACAAAAACAUCUUUUCUUGUAUAGAUUUAGGAAGUAUGACCUGCCCAAUGAAUAAUUUAAAUGGCCGCGGUAUUAUGACCGUGCAAAGGUAGCAUAAUCAAUAGUCUUUUAAUUGGAGGCUGGAAUGAAUGGUUGGACGAGACAAUAACUAUCUUAAGUUAAGUUAAUUAGAAUUUAAUUAUUAAGUUAAAAAGCUUAAAUUUUUUUUUGGGACGAGAAGACCCUAUAGAGUUUAAUAUUUAUUGAAAUUAAGAAUUGUUAGUAGGCACUAAAAAUUUUAAUUAAUAUUUAGUUGGGGUGAUUGAAAGAUAAUAACAACUCUUUAUGAAUUUUUGUGGAUGAAUUGAUUUAUUGUUGAUCCAAUAUUAUUGAUUAUAAGACUAAAUUACCUUAGGGAUAACAGCGUAAUUUUCUUUGAGAGUUCUAAUCGACAGGAGAGAUUGCGACCUCGAUGUUGGAUUAAGAGUUAUUUUAGGUGCAGAAGCUUAAAAUUUAAAGUCUGUUCGACUUUUAAAUUCUUACAUGAUCUGAGUUCAAACCGGUGUGAGCCAGGUUGGUUUCUAUCUAUUAUUAAUUUAUUAAACUUUAGUACGAAAGGACCAAGUUAUAAGAAAUAAUUUUUUAAUAUUGAUUAUAAUUUAAUAACUAUUUUGGCAGAAUGAGUGUAUUAGAUUUAGAAUCUAUAAAUGUAGGAUAUAAUCUACAA